CUUCACCGACCCCAGCCACAGCGGCUGAUCCUCGGGCCGGUCCUGCCCGUACGUGGCCAGCAGCGCCUGCGCCUC
rfam:Streptomyces sp. SCSIO 03032, complete genome.